GACGAACGCUUGCGGCGUGCCUGAGAAAUGCAAGUCGAGCGGGGUGUAGCAAUACACCUAGCGGCGAACGGUCGAGUAACACGUAAGCAACCUGCCCUGCAGUGGGGGAUAACAGCGGGAAACUGCUGCUAAUACCGCAUAGGCAUAUUUCUGGGCAUCCAGGGAUGUGUAAAGGCUAGACUGCUGCAGGAGGGGCUUGCGGCCUAUUAGCUAGUCGGUGGGGUAACGGCCUACCGAGGCGACGAUGGGUAGCUGGUCUGAGAGGAUGGUCAGCCGGAUCGGGACUGAGACACGGCCCGGACUCCUACGGGGGGCAGCAAUCAGGAAUAUUGCGCAAUGGGGGAAACCCUGACGCAGCGACGCCGCGUGCGGGAUGAAGGCCUUCGGGUCGUAAACCGCUGUUGUGGGAGACGAAUGACUGUCGAUGAGGCAGUGGAGACGGUAUCUCACGAGGAAGCCCCGGCUAACUACGUGCCAGCAGCCGCGGUAA
rnacentral:rRNA from 1 species